AGUGCGAAUGCUGACAUGAGUAGCGAUAAGGGGGGUGAAAAACCUCCCCGCCGGAAGACUAAGGGUUCCUGUCCAAUGCUAAUCAGGGCAGGGUUAGUCGGCCCCUAAGGCGAGGCUGAGAAGCGUAGUCGAUGGGAAACGGGUUAAUAUUCCCGUACUUGUAAUUACUGCGAUGGGGGGACGGAGAAGGCUAGACUAGCCGGGCGUUGGUUGUCCCGGUUUAAGGUUGUAGGCUGAGGACUUAGGCAAAUCCGGGUCCUUAAGGCCGAGAACUGAUGACGGUGACUCUACGGAGUCCGAAGUAGUUGAUGCCAUGCUUCCAGGAAAAGCCUCUAAGCU
rnacentral:rRNA from 12 species